UCCCAUUCUGCCCUCCCCAGGGACCCCAAGGGCUCCCUUGGCAGAGGAAACCACCCCACCCUCGGCUGAGAGAGGAGACCAGAGGUCCGCCCAAGUAACCACCAGGAGCUGCGAGGGCUGUUGCUCCCACCCGCCAGGACCCAGGGGAGAUGCUCCUGGGUGGGACCCGAGACUGGAAGGGCUUCCUGUCCCUUCUCCACCCCACCUCCCUUUCUGUGUUUUGUUCCAGACACACCCUCAGCUCAGAUUUGCUUGGAAGGCCAGUGAUUUCCACUCUUUCUUUUCAAAACAACCACACAGUUCUGGGACCCAAAUGUUGAUUGUCCUCAUGGAGGAAUGAGUCUCUGUCCACAGCAAGAACAUUCCAGAAAUGUCCAUCCAGCAUCGUCAGUGCGCCAGACAUCCAGGAGGGCCCACAGAUGGACCACACCUUGUCCAUGUUCCCAGGACGCUCCCUCCUACAAAACCACACACCCGAUGAUGGGCCAGGAGAGAAAAGAGAUGACUCUUCUUGCCUUUUCUCCCUCUGCGAUCUUCACAGAGUCUUUGCCAAGAGCACAUGCGGUAAUAAAUGUGAAAGUGAGCUCUCAACUGCACAGGCGACACGGCAGAGAGGUAAACAAAUGCCGGAAUGUGAAUCAAAACCUGGGCAGGUGGCUGGGGGGGCCUCAUUUGCCAGACUGUGUGCCUCAGGCUUGGGGACCA
rnacentral:lncRNA from 1 species